AGAUGGGAAAAUCAGGUCAUACAUAAACUAGAAACGAGUGAAGAAGGAGAUAAGCCACUUCUCAAGGACAAAAGCAACACUUUUCAAGGACUGUGGGUUUUGCCCCCCAAUGCUCUUAAGUGUACAUGAAACUGGUUACGAGGCAGAUUGCUGGGGAUGAAACGGGGGGAGCCCGAACUGAAUCCUUUCUGAGGAAACAGUUACAGUAAAGAGGACCACUGGAUUGAUAGAUUUUAUAUCACAUAUAAAGCUCACAGAUUCUUCAUGUGAGUUCCCACCAGACUAAAGGCAGAGAAGAGCCGUUCUGGGCUGUUACAAUUAAAUACACACAGGUGAGAAAUACUUAACUCCUCCUGGGGAGCACAGACAUGAGACACAUCCUUUCUGUCCCAUCCCUCAGCAGGAAUGACGAGCUGCCUGGAAUCUGGCUCCCCUUGGAAGCAUCUACCUUGCAGCACAGCAGGACAGGGAUCAUCACUCCCAUUUCUUCACACAAUUCCAAACCAACCCCGAAGUGCCAUUUCAGCCUUCCAUGUUUAAGCAAUCAAGUUUUACAGGACUCAGCUGAAUGUGCUGCAGUACUGCUUUCACAGCACAACAGGCUCCUCCACCAGUCUCUUCUGACAGUGUUAGCUAUGAGAAAAAAAGAUCAGAUUGAUUUUAAAUUAAAACUCUGUUUUGCCCAAGUUGAGAGCCCUCAACACAGACCACACAUUCAGGUUAUGUUGGAAAGCAUGGAAAACACCAAAUCUGAAAGACAGCCUGAAGUAAAAAACCCAAGUGCCUGUAAGAAUAACAGGAAGAAGACAUGGAAUAGAGGGAUGCUCUCCAGGCAGGGCCUAAAAAUGCCACUGCAAGACAAAGGAAGACCUUGUAUUUUAAUUGCAAAGGCUGGAGGGAACUGCUGUGAAGCUGCUGGCACCUGAGCUGUGCAUGACUGUCAGGUGGGUGCAAGGGCUGGGCAGAUAAAGCAGCAGCAAUGUGGAUCUGAAGUUGUUAUUCCACUGCCUGGAACCUCUGGGCAAAAAAAA